rnacentral:lncRNA from 1 species
AGUGCUGGCUGGAUAGGCAUGGGUCUCAGGUCCUCUGAUGUUACCCAGGCAGGGGUGACACACACCAUUCCCCACAGCCAGAGGGCCAUGAGGACAUCAUCGCUGACAAUCAAGACAUCUUGUUCCUGCUGCCAGCUGCCCUUUCCCUCUCUCAGACACACACAUGCUGCACACUCACACCCCCACAUACACACUCAUAGCCCCCACUCUAACCCCACCCCACACACUCAUGCCCUCACUCACAGCCCCCACACACACUCAUACCCCCCACUCAUAGCUCCCACAUACACACUCAUACCCCCCACUCAUAGCUCCCACAUACACACUCAUACCCCCCACUCACAGCCCUCAGCUCCCCCCAGCAUCCCCUGUCUUAUUCAGGCACUCAAGGGCACACAGGUGCCCACUUGCUGGAAUCCCCCCUCCCUGCCAACCCUCUGAGCCCCCCCCCAACCGGCUCUCCCGGGGAGCCCUCUCCCAGCCUCAGAGCCAGUCUGUCUCCUCCUUCCUUCCGCCCCUGGGGGGGAAUGUCUUUCUGGCAAAAAAACUCCCCAAAAAUGGC